GGGUGGGCGGGGAGGUCUAUACUAAGCACUUUUGGUGAAAGGCCAGGACUGUGAAGCCUAGAGGGAGGCUCAGGGAGCAAAUGGAAGGGCUUUUCGUUCUUGAAAAAAUUUCUGUGGUCUCGUUUUUUUUUUUUUAAAGGAAGGAAAAAGGGAAACCCUACUUUCUCCCUGAAUGUUUUUAAGUUUCUGUCAGUCCACAGGCAGAACUAAGUUGUAGUGUGUCCUUCUGUUCCCUACCCCCAAAAUGGCUCACCCCUGAGGUGAAUGUAUUUACUCAUUCCAGCAGAGGCAAUCAGGUACCUUGGUAACGAAAUCUCUAAAAUCCAAGUUGCUGCAGCUUGGCAUUCUUAUUUUUGAUGUCUCUCUCAAAAAUACAUGGGAAAUGAAUAGGACACAGGAGAGCCUGAGUACAGGGUGAAAAGCAGCUGCCAGGGACGUUCAUGAAAGAAGGGAUGGGUCACCUGGGUGGCUCAGUCGGUUAAGCAUCUCACUCUUGGUUCCCACUCAGGUCAUGAUCCCAGGAUCUCUGAGCCUGCUUGAGAUUCCCUCUCCCCCUCUGCCCCCUCCCCCUGCUCUCUCUCUCUGUCUCUCUCAAAUAAAUAAAUAAAUAGAAACUAAAAAAAAAAAGAGAAAGAAAGGAUAAAGCUGAAAUGUUAAUUUGCAUUUUCUUUUUCUAGAUAAGAACGGCAUAAGUGUGUUUAGGCAAUAGGCCCUAUUUUCUUCCUAAAUAAUUGUGCAUCUGUAAUUUAGCCUUGUAAAAGUGGAAAACAUUUCUGCUAUUUUCCAGAGCAUCUUAACUAAAAACCAAAUCCUCAUAUUGUGAAUUUAAAAACACUUAUCACAGAGAUACUUUUCUCUUAGAUUAGCCCUCUUGUGAGGAAACACAGCAUGAGUCACAUUAAAAGGAAGUACCUGGGUUCUAACAUCUGUUGUGGUGAGUAUUUGUUCUCAUAUACCAAAGAAAAAUUAAAAUACCUAAGCACACUAAAAGUAAUUUUGUGGAUCUAGGUUUUAAGAGUGCUAAUAGUGGUCAGUGUCCAGACUUAAAUGUCCACAGAUGCCCAGCUGAAGGAAUGACCAUUGGUCACUGGUUUCUCCCUACUGGUUGCAGAUCUCUUGGAAAUGCUGGAAUAGUAGCAGUUAAUUAUGAUUUUUUUUUUUUUUUGAGAGACAGAGCACGAUUGGAGGGGGGAGGGGGAGACAUAGAGGGAGAGGGAAAGAAAAUCUUAAGCAGGCUCCACACCCAGCACAGAACCCGACACGGGGCUCUAUCUCACUACCCUGAGAUCAUGACCUGAGCUGAAAUCAAGAGUUGGACACUUAACUGACUAAGCCGCCCAGGCACCCCUCAAUUAUAAUUUUUUAUGGAGAAGCAGAGGGUGGCUCUAUAAUUUAUGGGACCCCUUAGCUUACAUAAAAAGCUACAGGAAGAGGGGCGCCUGGGUGGCACAGCGGUUAAGCGUCUGCCUUCGGCUCAGGGCGUGAUCCCGGCGUUAUGGGAUCGAGCCCCACAUCAAGCUCCUCCACUAUGAGCCUGCUUCUUCCUCUCCCACUCCCCUGCUUGUGUUCCCUUUCUGGCUGGCUGUCUCUAUCUCUGUCAAAUAAAUAAAUAAAAUCUUUAAAAAAAAAAAAAGCUACAGGAAGUAACUGCACUGGCGGGAUGUGAUUAGUUUUUGGGAAUUUACUGUCUGUUCUGCCCUUUUAGUUAACAUCCAUCCAAAGAGAGGUGUUACAAAAAUGGAAGAAACCAUUAUACAUUUUGAUAUGGAGUGUAUUAAACAGACAAAAUAUGGUUCACAGAGUAGAAUGCGAAAGCUAAAGACUGUGUUUCUAUUGUGACUGUCAUCUCACGGAUCCUACUUUCACCAUUCUGUGCUUUCAUACUUCUUUCUAUAAAAAAGCACUAGUGAUCAUUUUUGACACUUUCCUUACCCAGAGAUAACAAAAGGAUACCACAGUGAAUGUUGAAGUUUCUUGAGCUCCUUAAAUAAAAGGUGCUAAAUAAAUACAUAAGAAUCUACUUUCAGAAAAAGGUAGUUUUCUUUCCCACCCUGAUCCCUACAUUUGAUAUUGAUCCAAAACAAUUAAAUGGUAGAAAUGUAUGGCAAAGAGAGGUCUGUGUCUAUGUAUUAGAGACGUAUGUGACAGAUAUAAACAGAAUAAAAUGAAGACAAUAGUGAAAAAUUAAUUGAGGAAUGUGAUAAAGAGAUUAUUAAACUUAGAGUUGACCGUAAGUUGUUUUUUUUUCCCCCCAUGGCUUGCUUGAACAGGGCUCUUUGUAAAAUAAUUGACGUGACUUAUUCCUGAUCUCUGUGGUAUGCUGGGGUGUCAGAUGUUGGUUAUGUUAUUUCUUAUCAGUGGAACCCUCAACAACAGAGUUGAGACAGAAAAGGCUUUGCUUUGACGAUAUAUCUGCUGUUGAUCUCAUAAGAAAAUUCUUUAAAAUACAGGUUGGCUGUGCACUGAAAGAGUUGAAAGGGAAAUGGAGUCUAGGGUCUUCCUGCCCACAUUUCAUUCCACUACCAGAAGAAGGAAGAAUUAUUUCUCUCUCUACCUAAUGUCGUGUGAAUGGGACCCGUUGGAGUUUGGCUUCCUCCAGCAUAAUGCCCUCGGGCUGCAGCGACGUUGGGCGCACCUGUAGUCGGCUCCUUUUGAUUGCUGAGUCUCCUUGUGAUUGCUGAGUCGUAUUCUGCAGUGUGGCUGUACCACAGUUUACCUACUCACCAACAUGUGGAUUCCUGCCAGUUUGGGGCAAUUACAAAUAAAGCUGCUAUAAAAA